GGCAGCUCGGCGCGAAGUGGUCGCGCAGACUGUAAAUCUGCCGGCUCAGCCUUCCCAGGUUCGAAUCCUGGCGCCGCCA
rnacentral:tRNA from 1 species